rnacentral:rRNA from 1 species
UACGGAGGGUGCGAACGUUAAUCGGAAUCACUGGGCGUAAAGCGCGCGUAGGCGGUUUGUUAAGUGGGAUGUGAAAUCCCCGGGCUUAACCUGGGAAUUGCAUUUCAAACUGGCCGACUAGAGUACGGUAGAGGGAUGCGGAAUUCCAGGUGGAGCGGUGAAAUGCGUAGAGAUCUGGAAGAACACCAAAGGCGAAGGCAGCAUUCUGGCUCGGACCUGACGCUCAUGUGCGAAAGCUAGGGGAGCGAACGGG